rnacentral:rRNA from 1 species
UACGGAGGGUGCAAGCGUUAUCCGGAUUCACUGGGUUUAAAGGGUGCGUAGGAGGGCAGGGAAGUCCGUGGUGAAAUCUCCGGGCUUAACCCGGAAACUGCCAUUGAUACUAUCUGUCUUGAAUACCGUGGAGGUGAGCGGAAUAUGUCAUGUAGCGGUGAAAUGCUUAGAUAUGACAUAGAACACCAAUUGCGAAGGCAGCUCACUACACGAAUAUUGACACUGAGGCACGAAAGCGUGGGGAUCAAACAGG